rnacentral:rRNA from 1 species
AGGUAGGAAUACCCGCUGAACUUUAAGCAUAUCAAUAAGCGGAGGAAAAGAAACCACCAGGGAUUGCCCCAGUAACGGCGAGUAAGCGGCAACAGCUCAAAUUUGAAAUCUGGCUUCGGCCCGAGUUGUAAUUUGCAGAGGAUGUUUAUGGUGCGGUACCUUCCGAGUUCCCUGGAACGGGACGCCACAGAGGGUGAGAGCCCCGUCUGGUUGGAUACCAAACCUGUGUUAAACUCCUUCAACGAGUCGAGUAGUUUGGGAAUGCUGCUCUAAAUGGGAGGUAAAUCUCUUCUAAAGCUAAAUACCGGCCAGAGACCGAUAGCGCACAAGUAGAGUGAUCGAAAGAUGAAAAGCACCUUGAAAAGGGGGUUAAACAGUACGUGAAAUUGUUGAAAGGGAAGCGUUUAUGACCAGACUUGUGUCGUGUGGCUCAUCCGAGGUUCUCCCCGGUGCACUCCACACGGCUCAGGCCAACAUCGGUUCUCGUCGGGGGAUAAGAACAGUAGGAACGUGGCCCCCCUCGGGGGGUGUUAUAGCCUACUGUACGAUACCUUGAUGGGGACCGAGGACCGCGCUUCGGCUAGGAUGUUGG